CCUACGGGUGGCUGCAGUGAGGAAUAUUGGUCAAUGGGCGCGAGCCUGAACCAGCCAAGUAGCGUGAAGGAUGACUGCCCUACGGGUUGUAAACUUCUUUUAUAAAGGAAUAAAGUGACGCAUGUGUGCCGCUUUGUAUGUACUUUAUGAAUAAGGAUCGGCUAACUCCGUGCCAGCAGCCGCGGUAAUACGGAGGAUCCGAGCGUUAUCCGGAUUUAUUGGGUUUAGAGGGAGCGUAGAUGGGUUGUUAAGUCAGUUGUGAAAGUUUGCGGCUCAACUGUAAAAUUGCAAUUGAUACUGGCAGUCUUGAGUACAGUUGAGGUAGGCGGAAUGCGUGGUGUAGCGGUGAAAUGCUUAGAUAUCACGAAGAACUCCGAUUGCGAAGGCAGCUUACUAAACUGCAACUGACGUUGAUGCGCGAAAGUGUGGGUAUCAAACAGGAUUAGAUACCCUGGUAGUC
rnacentral:rRNA from 1 species